rnacentral:rRNA from 1 species
UACAGAGGGUGCAAGCGUUAAUCGGAAUUACUGGGCGUAAGACGCAUGUAGGUGGUUAUGCAAGUUUGAUGUGAAAGCCCCGGGCUUAACCUGGGAAUUGCGUUGAAAACUGCAUGACUUGAGUCUGAUAGAGGGUAGUGGAAUUUCCGGUGUAGCGGUGAAAUGCGUAGAGAUCGGAAAGAACAUCAGUGGCGAAAGGGCGGCUACCUGGGGUCAAGACUGACACUGAGGUGCGAAAGCGUGGGGAGCAA